AUGAACGCCAGCUACAGGCUUAACACAUGCAAGUCGAGGGGAAACGGCAUUGAGUGCUUGCACUCUUUGGACGUCGACCGGCGCACGGGUGAGUAACGCGUAUCCAACCUUCCCAUUACUGUGGGAUAACCUGCCGAAAGGCAGACUAAUACCGCAUAGUCUUCGAUGACGGCAUCAGAUUUGAAGUAAAGAUUUAUCGGUAAUGGAUGGGGAUGCGUCUGAUUAGCUUGUUGGCGGGGUAACGGCCCACCAAGGCAACGAUCAGUAGGGGUUCUGAGAGGAAGGUCCCCCACAUUGGAACUGAGACACGGUCCAAACUCCUACGGGAGGCAGCAGUGAGGAAUAUUGGUCAAUGGACGGAAGUCUGAACCAGCCAAGUAGCGUGCAGGAUGACGGCCCUAUGGGUUGUAAACUGCUUUUGUAUGGGGAUAAAGUUAGGGACGUGUCCCUAUUUGCAGGUACCAUACGAAUAAGGACCGGCUAAUUCCGUGCCAGCAGCCGCGGUAAUACGGAAGGUCCAGGCGUUAUCCGGAUUUAUUGGGUUUAAAGGGAGCGUAGGCUGGAGAUUAAGUGUGUUGUGAAAUGUAGACGCUCAACGUCUGACUUGCAGCGCAUACUGGUUUCCUUGAGUACGCACAACGUUGGCGGAAUUCGUCGUGUAGCGGUGAAAUGCUUAGAUAUGACGAAGAACUCCGAUUGCGAAGGCAGCUGACGGGAGCGCAACUGACGCUUAAGCUCGAAGGUGCGGGUAUCAAACAGG
rnacentral:rRNA from 1 species